CCGCCCCCCGGCCCAGCGGGCGGCGCGGCGGUCCCCAGGAAACUCAGAAAAUCCAGAAGUGGUGGGGGUAAGGGACUGAUAAGACUUCAAGCAAAGGUGAGAGUGUCCUCUUGUUAUUUAAAUGAAGCCUUUAUAUGUGCAUAUUGCCCAUUUGGAUGAGAAGUUAUUUCCGUUUUGGACAUUAUCUGUGACAUCCAGCACUAUGCAGCCAUUUUGUGACCAUGAGUGGAGUCAAGCAGAGAGGACAUGCCAACAAGUUGAACAUGACAGAGAAGAAAGAUGGAAAAGAUCCAGGGUCAUUGAAAAAUUAACCAACCUCCAGAUACCACCUCAGGCCUCCUGUUAUAUAAGAGAGUAAAAGUUCUUUUAGCAAAGUUUUCUGCAUUUUGCAACUCAAUACUUCCUUUGUUGUAUACCUGUUGUGGCAGCUCAUCUUAAUAA